AUUGAACGCUGGCGGCAGGCCUAACACAUGCAAGUCGAACGAGUGGCGGACGGGUGAGUAAUGUCUGGGAAACUGCCUGAUGGAGGGGGAUAACUACUGGAAACGGUAGCUAAUACCGCAUACCAUCAGAUGUGCCCAGAUGGGAUUAGCUUGUUGGUGGGGUAACGGCUCACCAAGGCGACGAUCCCUAGCUGGUCUGAGAGGAUGACCGUCCACCUGGGAACGGAGACCGGGCCCAGACUCCACCGGGGGGCAGCAGUGGGGAAUAUGCAACAUUGGGCGAAAGCCGGUGCCAGCCAUGCGGGUUGUAUGAAGAAGCCCUUCGGGUUGUAAAGUACUUUCAGCGGGGAGGCUUUACCCGCAGAAGAAGAACCGGCUAACCCCGGGCCAGCAGCCGCGUUAAUAC
rnacentral:rRNA from 1 species